AGUGCGGCCGUCAUGGCGUCGCCCUUCAGCGGGGCGCUGCAGCUGACGGACCUGGAUGACUUCAUCGGGCCGUCUCAGGAGUGCAUCAAGCCUGUCAAAGUGGAAAAAAGGGCAGGAGAAUGGCGUGAGCCCGGGAGGCGGAGUUUGCAGUGAGCCGAGAUCGCGCCACUGCACUCCAGCUUGGGUGACACAGCGAGACUCCAUCUCAAAAAAAAAAAAAAAAAGAAACUAUUAAAAUUCACCUGACUGUGUGCCAUUUGGACUCUAAAACACGUCUGCCUGAUCUCAUGAACCGCUGCACCGAGAGACGAUUUCCAGCCCAGCACUAGGGGUCCGGCCCACAAACGAAGGGAACCCCUGUAAGGUGCUAGGGUGCUGGUAGGCGUGGCUGUUGGCGCAGUGGCAGUUGAUGCUGGUGGGCCUGGCUGUCGGCGCAGUGGCAGUUGGUUUGGAGGAGCUUGUCAGUCUCUGCCCAGCACCCUGUGGCAGGCAAUGCUUUGUGCCUUGAGUCAGAACCAAUGUAGGAAUACAAGGCGAGCUCAGAUUGUGACUUCGCGUGACACACACGCCUAGCAGAGAGCUGGGCUGCGAGGGGUUCCCACGCAGUUCCCACCCAGUCGCCUUGCUCCUCUGGCUGCAUUCCG
rnacentral:sRNA from 1 species